rnacentral:pre_miRNA from 1 species
AAAGUACUCCCUCCGUCCCAAAAUUCUUGUCUUAGAUUUGUCUAGAUACGGAUGUAUCUAAUACAUCCGUAUCUAGACAAAUCUAAGACAAGAAUUUUGGGACAGAGGGAGUAGUUG